rnacentral:lncRNA from 1 species
AAAUGGAGGGUAACUACAAUUCUCAAAAGCUUCACACACUCUUGAUCAAUAUAGUGUGAAGAAAAAUUAAUUCAAGGUAUCCAACAAAGCUUCAACCUCAAAGCUUCACCUACAAAGCUUCACCUACAAAGCUUCACCACAAAAGUUUCACCAACAAAAGCUUCAACAAAUGGAGGGCUACUACAAAUGCCAAAAGCUUCAUACACUCUUGAUCAAGAUAGUAUGAAGCAAAAUCAAUUCAUGGUACCCAACAAAGCUUCAC